rnacentral:rRNA from 1 species
GGCUCAGACGAAACGCCGGCGGCGUGCCUAACACAUGCAAGUCGAGCGAGAAAGCCCCCGCAAGGGGGUAAGUAAAGCGGCGAACGGGUGAGUAACACGUGGGCAACCUGCCCUUCAGUCGGGAAUAACCCCGCGAAAGCGGGGCUAAUACCGGAUAACGUUCCCCGGGGGCAUCUUCGGGGAACCAAAGGGGGCGAGCGCAAGCGGCUCCCGCUGAUGGAUGGGCCUGCGGCUGAUUAGCUAGUUGGUGGGGUAACGGCCUACCAAGGCGACGAUCAGUAGCCGACCUGAGAGGGUGACCGGCCACACUGGGACUGAGACACGGCCCAGACUCCUACGGGAGGCAGCAGUGGGGAAUAUUGCGCAAUGGGCGAAAGCCUGACGCAGCGACGCCGCGUGGGUGACGAAGGCCUUCGGGUCGUAAAACCCUGUCGGGUGGAACGAAUCUCCGCUCUCUAAAUAGGGGAGCGGAUUGACGGUACCACCGAAGGAAGCCCCGGCUAACUACGUGCCAGCAGCCGCGGUAAUACGUAGGGGGCGAGCGUUGUUCGGAUUUGCUGGGCGUAAAGAGCGCGUAGGCGGUUCGAUAAGUCGGAGGUGAAAUCCCUCGGCUCAACCGAGGAUCCGCGUCCGAUACUGUCGAACUUGAGUGCAGGAGAGGAGAGCGGAAUUCCGAGUGUAGCGGUGAAAUGCGUAGAUAUUCGGAGGAACACCGGUGGCGAAGGCGGCUCUCUGGACUGCCACUGACGCUGAGGCGCGAAAGCUAGGGGAGCAAACGGGAUUAGAUACCCCGGUAGUCCUAGCCGUAAACGAUGGGCACUAGGUGUGGGAGGUAUCGACCCCUUCCGUGCCGCAGCUAACGCAUUAAGUGCCCCGCCUGGGGAGUAC